AUGCUACUGGACUUGAAUGGUUAAUAAAAUUGCACAAUGUUGUUGGUGGCAGUGACUUCUUUCUGUUCAGAUGCCUUUGGUGCUUCAUGAAGAAUAUUUCCAGAUAUCUCACAGACAUUAAGCCUUUGCCUCCCAACAUAAAAGACAGACUGAUUAAAAUAAUGAGUAUGCAGGGACAGAUAACAGAUUCAAAUAUAAGUGAGGGUCAUGCUCCGUUGCCCAGGCUGGAGUACAGUGGUGCAAUCUCAGCUCACUGCAACCUCCGCUGCCUGGACUUAGUCCAAACUCUAGAUCUACGGAGCUGCGAUAUAUCAGAUGCUGCUCUCCUGCACCUGUCUAACUGUAGAAAACUGAAGAAAUUAAAUUUAAAUGCUUCAAAAGGGAACCGAGUUUCUGUAACUUC
rnacentral:lncRNA from 10 species